GACUCCAUAGCUCAGCUGGAUAGAGCGCUUGACUACGAAUCAAGAGGCCGGGAGUUCGAAUCUCUCUGGGGUCACCA
rnacentral:tRNA from 1 species